GACGAACGCUGGCGGCGUGCUUAACACAUGCAAGUCGAACGGAAAGGCCCUGCUUUUGUGGGGUGCUCGAGUGGCGAACGGGUGAGUAACACGUGAGUAACCUGCCCUUGACUUUGGGAUAACUUCAGGAAACUGGGGCUAAUACCGGAUAGGAGCUCCUGCUGCAUGGUGGGGGUUGGAAAGUUUCGGCGGUUGGGGAUGGACUCGCGGCUUAUCAGCUUGUUGGUGGGGUAGUGGCUUACCAAGGCUUUGACGGGUAGCCGGCCUGAGAGGGUGACCGGCCACAUUGGGACUGAGAUACGGCCCAGGCUCCUAAGGGAGGCAGCAGUGGGGAAUAUUGCACAAUGGGCGGAAGCCUGAUGCAGCAACGCCGCGUGCGGGAUGACGGCCUUCGGGUUGUAAACCGCUUUCGCCUGUGACGAAGCGUGAGUGACGGUAAUGGGUAAAGAAGCAACGGCUAACUACGUG
rnacentral:rRNA from 1 species